rnacentral:rRNA from 1 species
UACGUAGGGUGCAAGCGUUAUCCGGAAUUAUUGGGCGUAAAGAGCUCGUAGGCGGUUUGUCGCGUCUGCUGUGAAAACUGGGGCUCAACCCCCAGCCUGCAGUGGGUACGGGCAGACUAGAGUGCGGUAGGGGAGAUUGGAAUUCCUGGUGUAGCGGUGGAAUGCGCAGAUAUCAGGAGGAACACCGAGUGGCGAAGGCAGAUCUCUGGGCCGUAACUGACGCUGAGGAGCGAAAGCAUGGGGAGCGAACAGG